UAGAUGGAACACACAGACAUUUCAUGGAAACUUUCCAAAAGAUCCAGGUGAUGCAUUUUACAGAAUCACAAUGGUGAAUCAAGUUAAUGGCCAAGCUAGCUGCUACACCAAAGCUUCUGAAUCUCUUCCAAGCCAAGGGUGGAACCAUAGGGUUGAGGUUGCAGGCCAUCCUACUCAAGGCUCCAACCAAUCCUAACGCUAACUUGACCAGAGAUGUUGUCAUCGGUGUUUCGGGGAUCUUUAGAUCAUCUUCUAAAAAAGUAUGAUGAUGCUGAUGAAGAUAGUGUGCCACAGGACCUUGCUGUACAAAAAAUGGAAAUCAACAGCAUCGAGACCAAUACAUCAGAGGGUCCCGAUGACGUUGGUAUCGUGGUAGAGGGAAUGAAAGUUCUGACUGCUCUGGAUAACUUUCCAAGGGCUUGCUCCAUGCUCCUUGGGUGGACAUAUUCAGUGAAUCCAGCCUAUACCAAGGAGCCCAGAUAUACGUUUGAAAUCCCCCAGAAACUCCUCUUUGAGCUGGACUGUUCAAAGCCAAAAGGUGAACAUUCUCAAGAACAAACUGCUAGCUUAGGAAAAUGGACCCUUGCAAAAUGAAAAGGAAUUGUUAAGUCUCUGUCAAAUGUCACAUGGUUACCUUCAAAUGCUUGAGUUGCUCAACCAUACUCAUUUUAAGAGAAGUGACUUUUUUUACUUAUAAUUGGAAAAAUUAUCUUGUGAUUCUACUGUUUACAACAAGGAUGAAAAUUGGACAUGAUUUAGUCAAAGAAUUUCAGUUACACAAAUGAGUAAUGUGAUCGUUCCAGUAGAAAUUAA